rnacentral:rRNA from 1 species
UACAUGGGGUGCAACCGUUGCUCGGAAUUACUGGGCGUAAAGCGCACGUAGGCGGCUUUCUAAGUCGGGGGUGAAAUCCUGGAGCUCAACUCCAGAACUGCCUUCGAUACUGGAAAGCUCGAGUCCGGGAGAGGUGAGUGGAACUGCGAGUGUAGAGGUGAAAUUCGUAGAUAUUCGCAAGAACACCAGUGGCGAAGGCGGCUCACUGGCCCGGUACUGACGCUGAGGUGCGAAAGCGUGGGGAGCAAACAGG